CAGCUUCUUCCUCUUUGUUUUUUUUUUGCCUCUCUUUUUCCUUAGGCGCUUGCGCUUCGUCGUCGCUGUUUCCGAGAUGGGGGGAAAACGUACAAGGCCCCGGUGGCGAAGGUCGAGAGGAAGAAGCUCGGUGGACUGGUCGCCGAGGAGAACUGCGGCCCGUCGAUACUCCGACUCGCAUAACAGGUUCUGAUCACCUCAGGGAUGUAUUUGGACACAUGGACCUCAGUGAUCAGAGGACAUCGCUGCACUGUCUGGGAAAUCCUAAGUGGUGAGAAAAAAACUUCUCCAUCUGCCUUCCGACAAGGCCCUAUUAGUUGGGGAUUAAAUUUAACAGCAGAUAAAGUUAAAAUAUAAUGGAGUCAGUGGAUAGAGAUAGAGAUUGAAUAUCAUGAGGUGAUAAAUAAUGGAUAGAUGUGGUGGUAAUUAUUAAUAAGAAAGAGAGUUAAUGGUAAAAAAAAGAAAUUAUCUAGAUUCAAUUUGUUUGAGAAAAACUCGAUGUAGUGGGAAAUAAAUGUGGAGUUAGUAAUUAUCUUAUAAGUCUAUAUAUAUAUAUAUAUAUAUAUAUAUAUAUAUAUAUGUUAACAUUUUCAAUGAAUGAAA